AUUUUAUUAGUAUAAUUGUAUUACGUUAUCUUGAUAAGGUAGAGGUUAAUAAAGUA
rnacentral:tRNA from 1 species